GAACGCACAUUGCGCCCCUUGGUAUUCCAUGGGGCAUGCCUGUUCGAGCGUCAUUUACACCCUCAAGCUCUGCUUGGUGUUGGGCGUCUGUCCCGCUUCGUGCGCGGACUCGCCCUAAAGGUAUUGGCAGCGGUCAUGCCAGCUUCUCGCGCAGCACAUUGCGCUUCUCGAGGCACCGGCGGAUCAGCGUCCAUCAAGCUCACUUCCACAGUUUGACCUCGGAUCAGGUAGGGAUACCCGCUGAACUUAAG
rnacentral:misc_RNA from 1 species